rnacentral:lncRNA from 1 species
GCAUGGAUGUGGAGAUUGGAACGUCCUCGUUCUGUAGCAGCAAUCUACGGUAAGAGAAAUUCAUUUUUUUUUUAAAUUUCUCAGCAACCAAACACUGUCUAAUGUGCUUGUUUGUGAGAAUCAGAAAGGUGUUGCAGUGCAGUGUUGUGUUAGGAGCUUUUAUAUUUUAUAAUUUUAACAAUGAUAAACAGUGGAGAGUAAAUUAAUAUGGGUGUAAUAAAUAAAUUAGAGUGUGAAUGACAUGAUAGGGACAGAGAAUGGGAGCCACAGCAUUUAAUCAGUGACUCUCGCGUUUACGGGAAUGUUGGAUUGAACCUUCUAAAUACAUAUUAAUUUGUUAUGUUUGUGUCUACUCCAAUUAAUUUUGGAAAGUGAAUUUAAUUUUUUUAUUUUGGAGUAAGAUUGUGGAAUAAGAUUGUGCAGGUGACGUGACUAUAGGACAGAACCGACUGUUUGCUCUGUUCCAUUCUAUCCUUAAGUUCUUGGGAACCAUAAAAAGUACUGUUAGCUACUGGACUAGCUGCUUCACUGAGAAUUAUCUAUGGAGCUACUCCUCUAUAUACUCAAAAUACUCAAAUCUUAUGAUAUAAACAUGUAAGG